AUAUUAUUUUGGCAGAUUAGUGCUUUAAAUUUAGAAUUUAAUUAUGUGAAUGUUUUCACAGAUAAUAC
rnacentral:tRNA from 1 species